rnacentral:rRNA from 1 species
CCAAAAACAUCUCUCUUUGUUAAUAAUAAAUAAGGAGUUGGGCCUGCUCGGUGAAUAUUUUUUAACAGCUGCGGUAUUUUAACUGUACUAAGGUAGCAUAAUAAUUUGCCUUAUAAUUUGAGGCUAGAAUGAAUGGUUUGACGAAGGUUAAUCUGUCUCCGUUUUAUUUUUUAGAAAUUAAUUUUCAUAGUGAAAAAGCUUGAAUUUUUUAAAGGGACGAGAAGACCCUAUUGAGCUUAUAAUUUUAUUACUAUUAUGUUUGUUAAAUUCAUCAUUGUAGUAUAUAAAUUUUAAUUGGGGUGAUUAAGGAAUAAGUUUUUUAUAAUAUAACUUCCUUAGAUUAAUAUAUUGUUAGAUUAAGUAACCGAUGUGAUUAACAUAAUGUAUGUUAUGUAUUGCUUAUAAUAUAGUUACCAUAGGGAUAACAGCGUAAUUUACUUAGAGAGUUCUUAUUGAAAAGUAAGAUUGCGUAACCUCGAUGUUGGGAUUAUAAAGUAAACCUUAAGGUGCAGUAA